AACGAACGCUGGCGGCAUGCCUAACACAUGCAAGUCGAACGAGACCUUCGGGUCUAGUGGCGCACGGGUGCGUAACGCGUGGGAAUCUACCCUUAGGUUCGGAAUACCUCAGUGUAAUUUGACUUAAUACCGGUUGAUGACGUACGUCCAAAGAUGUAUCGCCUGAGGAUGAGCCCGUUUAGGAUUAGGUAGUUGGUGAGGUAAAGGCUCACCAAGCCGACGAUCCUUAGCUGGUCGGAGAGGAUGAUCAGCCAGACUGGAACUGAGACACGGCCCAGACUCGUACGGAAGGGAGGAGUAGGGAAUAGUGGAGAAUGAGGGCAGGUGCGAUAAAGCAACGAGGGGGGAGUGAUGAAGGGAGUAGGAAUGUAAAGAUAUUUUAAACGGGACGAGAAUGACAGUAACGGGAAAAUAAGCACCGGCUAACUACGUG
rnacentral:rRNA from 1 species